rnacentral:rRNA from 1 species
UACGUAGGCAGCAAGCGUUGUUCGGAGUUACUGGGCGUAAAGAGUGUGUAGGCGGUUCGCCAAGUUCGGUGUGAAAUCUCCCGGCUUAACUGGGAGGGUGCGCCGAAAACUGGCAGGCUUGAGUGCGGGAGAGGAGAGCGGAAUUCCUGGUGUAGCGGUGAAAUGCGUAGAGAUCAGGAGGAACACCUGCGGUGUAGACGGCUCUCUGGACCGCAACUGACGCUGAGACACGAAAGCGUGGGUAGCAAACAGG